rnacentral:sRNA from 10 species
GCUGGGUGUGGUGGCUCACACCUGUAAUCCUAGCACUUUGGGAGGCUGAGGUGGGUGGAUCACUUGAGGUCAGGAGUUCAAAACCAGGCUGGCCAACAUGGUGAAACCUUGUCUCUACUAAAAAUACAAAAAAUUAGCUGGGCAUGGUGGUGGGCACCUGCAAUCCCAGCUAUUUGGGAGGCUGAGGCAGGAGAAUCACUUGAACCCCAGAGGCAGAGGUUACAGUGAGCCAAGAUUGCACCAUUGCACUCCAGCCUGGGCAACAGAGUGAGACUCCAUCACA